CCUACGGGAGGCAGCAGUGAGGAAUAUUGGUCAAUGGACGAGAGUCUGAACCAGCCAAGCAGCGUGAAGGAUGACUGCCCUCUGGGUUGUAAACUUUUUUUAUAUGGGAAUAAAAUGCUCCACGUGUGGGAUUUUGUAUGUACCAUAUGAAUAAGGAUCGGCUAACUCCGGGCCAGCAGCCGCGGUAAUACGGAGGAUCCGAGCGUUAUCCGGAUUUAUUGGGUUUAAAGGGAGCGUAGGUGGAUUGUUAAGUCAGUUGUGAAAGUUUGCGGCUCAACCGUAAAAUUGCAGUUGAAACUGGCAGUCUUGAGUACAGUAGAGGUGGGCGGAAUUCGUGGUGUAGCGGUGAAAUGCUUAGAUAUCACGAAGAACUCCGAUGGCGAAGGCAGUUCACUGGACUGCAACUGACACUGAGGCUCGAAAGUGUGGGUAUCAAACAGGAUUAGAUACCCGGGUAGUC
rnacentral:rRNA from 1 species